UUCAGUGGCAACUCUUCUCCUGCCCCAGACCGCGCAUUACGCAUCUUGUAUGUAAGGUGGUGGAAACUGCACGCAACCUGGCGCUCCCUCAUACCAUCGCACAAGCCUUGUGUUUGCAGCUGAUUUGUGAGAAGCAUUGCCCAUUUUCCACUGGCUUAAUUCAGCCCGACUUGGCUCCACUUGGCUCGCUUCGCGAGCAUUUUCAUUAUUGUUAUUUCAGUACUGGUACCUCAUUCUUAGCAGGGCUAAGCGAGGCCGAGUCGGUACUGUACGUGAUGCAAACAAAUGGCUGUUCACUGAUUGGCCGUGGGUGUGGCCAGCCGUAAGAGUCGACUAGUAAACGACUAAAAAACAAUCGGCAUUUUCAAACAUGCAUUUAAGCGAGUGAGAGAAGCAUAUGAUGGAGUUUGCACAGUUAUCCGGAAAUGUCACCCCUUGGAGCAAUGAGAGCCUUGAAAGAACUUCCCAGAGGUUCAUUGAGAGACGACCAAAGUUGUAUAUAACGGUCCAAAACAGAAAAACCUUGCCCAUAUUGGACAGAUGCAGGACCUGCUGCACAAACUUUCACUGUCCCUUUUGCAGUUGAACUUUAUUUAAUCUCACAGUUGGGUCUGAACCGCAGCUGGGCAUAAACAAGAAGCCUGAUGGCUGCAGGAACGAAGGAUCUUCAAAAUCUCUCUGUCCUGCAUUGAACAUACAUAUUGCAUAGUUCUGUGUAAGCAUUUAUUACUAUUUAGUUGUUUAAUGUAAUAAACUUUCAAUCUGUUUGGGA